GGAGGGAGCGGGCGGGGCCGGGCGGGGAUUGAGGGGCGGGGCCGGGCGGGGAUUGAGGGGCGGGGCCGGGCCCGACUCAGGUGCGCGGGGCCCCAGUGCGGCUGCGCGGGCCGGGGCCUAUUUCUAUGCGGCCGAUCCGCUCCCGGCCCGUUCCAUUCGGGAACACUCGUGCUGGGAUGCGGCGGGAUCCUCGUCGGAGCGCUGUGCCAGGGACAGCUCCCGGUUCUGCGCGAAUCCUGGGGCGCUCAGGUCACAGGAUAUACUGGGAUUGAGAGGGUUCCUAAAAUCCGACUCUCGAGGACACGGCCCGUGGGAGAAUUGAACUCACAACCUUGGCACUACCUGGACUGUGCUCCGACUGACUGAGCCCUCUGCAUCACAGGGAGAAGUGAGCAGGACAGGUUCUGAGGCUUCCCUUGCUGCGUGACCUGAGUUCCUCUGGAGAGUGGCAGGUGGCAUUUCCUGCAG